AGUGAACGCUGGCGGUAGGCCUAACACAUGCAAGUCGAACGGCAGCACAGUAAGCGCUUGCUCUUACGGGUGGCGAGUGGCGGACGGGUGAGGCAUACAUCGGAAUCUACUUUUUCGUGGGGGAUUACGUAGGGACACUUACGCUAAUACCGCAUACGACCUACGGGUUAAAGCAGGGGUGAUUCGGACCUUUCGCGUUUGAUUGAGCCGAUGUCGGAUUAGCUAGUUGGCGGGGUAAAGGCCCACCAAGGCAACGAUACGUAGCUGGCCUGAGAGGAUGAUCAGCCACACUGGAACUGAGACACGGUCCAGACUCCUACGGGAGGCAGCAGUGGGGAAUAUUGGACAAUGGGCGCAAGCCUGAUCCAGCCAUACCGCGUGGGUGAUGAAGGCCUUCGGGUUGUAAAGCCCUUUUGUUGGGAAAGAAAAGCAGCAGGAGAAUACCCCGAUGUUCUGACGGUACCCAAAGAAUAAGCACCGGCUAACUUCGUG
rnacentral:rRNA from 1 species